ACGAAAAAAUGAAACUUUGAUAGCCUGUAGAGUUUCGGGCGCUGAGUCGAAUGGUCUUGGUCCGAAGUCUCUACGACGAAGCGUUCUUGAGAUAUUUCACUUUGAAAUUGCAAAAACGGGGGCCGCGCCCUGACGUCAUGCGGCCAUUUGGUUACAUCAUCACGGGCUGCCUACGUCAUUGUGGCAAAGUCGUUUCUCUUCGCCAGUCUACAAGCACUAAUUUUAGUUGGUAUUUCAAGGGAAGAUGGGCGAUUCCGAACAAUCCUCUGUCCCCAGCAAUGAAGGCAGCGAUGCUGAGGCCAGUGAGGACGACCAACAGCCCACCGCCGCGUAUGGUUGGGGCAGGGAGCCCAGAUACUCUGCUGAGGAGCUGCCAUCGCGUGUAACAAAUGUGGAGGAAGAAGAUGCGUCAGCAGCUGCGUCCGACAGAAGACGAGUAGCUUGGCCACCAGAAUCUCGAUUCGUUUGGGACUCCGACUGGUGCGAGCGUGGACAAAAGUGUAUAGCCAUGCCCAGCCCGCGGGAAUGAUUUUGCUGGUAGGAUGCUGCCGUCGCUGUCGACAAGACGGCCCAAGGUUUCUUGCGUAGCGGACCUCGCAGAUUACGAGAUCGUAUCCUUGCAUUAGGCUGUGCUCAUCACUGCUCUUCGAGGUUAUCUCGACAUGCAGAAGCCGCCAAUGCCAGUGACAGAAGAGUCUGACAUUAGAUCUCUACGCUAUGCGGCACACAGGCAGUACACACUAUGUACACGGCAAAUUGGGCAAGCACGUUCGUUGUCGUCUUCCAGCCUGCGUUGUGAAUACCAUCAGGCAAAGAUAUCCAAAUCCUGCACCACCUCAGCCUUCUCAGGAGGCUUCCACCUGGAAUUUGGCAGGGAAACACGCUUCUCCAAGGCAGGAACAUGGAGGUUGCCAUUUGCAACCGCUACCACCUCACACAUGAGCUUGUCAACAUACUCAUAGCUCUUUCUGUCGUAUAAUUUUCUAUUUGGCCACAGUCUUCUUUAUGCUUUGAGAACUGGACUUUAUACCUUC